AUUAUUAUUAUUAUUAUUAUUUAUUACUACAUUGUUUUUUACUUACAGGGAAAUACAUUAUCUGGCACAGUCAUCUUUGGUCCUCGACCUACAAACAGCGCCCGAGAAAAAACAUUCAGAAGAGAAGAAUUCAGCUCAGCUCUCACGCCUCUCAAAUCAGCAUGCAGCCUCCAGCGUAUUCCCUCGUGGACAAUAGUAGUGCAGUGCUGAUGCCUCCACCGUACCCUGGCCCACCUGUGGCGUCAGGCGGCUAUGUACAGGAAGUGAUAACAGAGAAAAAGGAAGUUAUAUUCCAGCCUGGGGCCCAGACUACCAUGAUCCAACAACCGGCCCAACAGGGGGUCAGUGUAGUCCAGCCCGGGGUCCAGACUACCAUGAUCCAACAACCGGUCCAACAAGGACUCACUGUAGUCCAGCCUGGGGCCCAGACCACCAUGAUCCAACAACCGGCCCAACAGGGGGUCACUGUAGUCCAGCCUGGGGCUCAGACUACAUACAUCCAACAACCGGCCCAACAAGGGGUCACUGUAGUUCAGCCUGGGGCCCAAACUACCAUGAUACAACAACCGGCCCAACAAGAGGUCACUGUAGUCCAGCCUGGGGCCCAGACUACAUACAUCCAACAACCGGCCCAACAGGGGGUCACUGUAGUCCAGCCUGGGGCCCAGACUACAUACAUCCAACAACCGGCCCAACAAGGGGUCACUGUAGUCCAGCCUGCGUCUCAGACUACAUACGUCCAACAACCAGCCCAACAAGGGGUCACUGUAGUCCAGUCGGCAGCCCAGCCUGCAUUGGUCCAACAAAUGUCCGAACUAGCGGUCAGUGUUACCCAGCCUGCGCCCCAGACUACAUACAUCCAACAACAGGUCCAAUCUCCAGGAGUGGUUUAUCAGUCUGCACCUCAACCACAAAUUGUGUACCAGCAGUCUCGGGUUCAAUCCACUAUAGUCCAGCCUGCAGCUACUGUAAUCCAGCCCCAGUUUCUACCCACCGUGGUCCAGCAAGCAAGUGUGUACCAGGCCCCAGCAGCCUCCCAAGUGGUGUAUCGCUAUAUGUGAUCCCAUUCCCAUCCAGCUGGAGGACACCAUCAGGAGAACCUGGAGGAACCCGAAGAACACGGAGAACUCCAGCCUGCGUCAAUCAAUAGUACAACAUGAUUUAGAUACAUAUAUUCUUCAAAAUCUAGGGGAUUUAAAGUUAUCUUAUGGAAAAAAAUAUAUAUUCUAUUUUAAAGGAAAAUCAAUUUUUGGGGUUUUACAAGAAGAAGAAAUGUUAAAUAGACGUGUAUAUUUGGUGACUGGAUUUUUUUUAUACAGCUGCUUGCUUGAUAUAAUGUUUAAAAAAUGUUUAAAGUACGAAAGUCCGAAGAUGCCAUGAGUUGAUAAUAUAUAGAUAAAUAUAUAU
rnacentral:lncRNA from 1 species